rnacentral:rRNA from 1 species
GAUGAACGCUGGCGGCGUGCCUAAUACAUGCAAGUCGAGCGAACGGACGAGAAGCUUGCUUCUCUGAUGUUAGCGGCGGACGGGUGAGUAACACGUGGAUAACCUACCUAUAAGACUGGGAUAACUUCGGGAAACCGGAGCUAAUACCGGAUAAUAUUUUGAACCGCAUGGUUCAAAAGUGAAAGACGGUCUUGCUGUCACUUAUAGAUGGAUCCGCGCUGCAUUAGCUAGUUGGUAAGGUAACGGCUUACCAAGGCAACGAUGCAUAGCCGACCUGAGAGGGUGAUCGGCCACACUGGAACUGAGACACGGUCCAGACUCCUACGGGAGGCAGCAGUAGGGAAUCUUCCGCAAUGGGCGAAAGCCUGACGGAGCAACGCCGCGUGAGUGAUGAAGGUCUUCGGAUCGUAAAACUCUGUUAUUAGGGAAGAACAUAUGUGUAAGUAACUGUGCACAUCUUGACGGUACCUAAUCAGAAAGCCACGGCUAACUACGUGCCAGCAGCCGCGGUAAUACGUAGGUGGCAAGCGUUAUCCGGAAUUAUUGGGCGUAAAGCGCGCGUAGGCGGUUUUUUAAGUCUGAUGUGAAAGCCCGCGGCUCAACCGUGGAGGGUCAUUGGAAACUGGAAAACUUGAGUGCAGAAGAGGAAAGUGGAAUUCCAUGUGUAGCGGUGAAAUGCGCAGAGAUAUGGAGGAACACCAGUGGCGAAGGCGGCUUUCUGGUCUGUAACUGACGCUGAUGUGCGAAAGCGUGGGGAUCAAACAGGAUUAGAUACCCUGGUAGUCCACGCCGUAAACGAUGAGUGCUAAGUGUUAGGGGGUUUCCGCCCCUUAGUGCUGCAGCUAACGCAUUAAGCACUCCGCCUGGGGAGUACGACCGCAAGGUUGAAACUCAAAGGAAUUGACGGGGACCCGCACAAGCGGUGGAGCAUGUGGUUUAAUUCGAAGCAACGCGAAGAACCUUACCAAAUCUUGACAUCCUUUGACAACUCUAGAGAUAGAGCCUUCCCCUUCGGGGGACAAAGUGACAGGUGGUGCAUGGUUGUCGUCAGCUCGUGUCGUGAGAUGUUGGGUUAAGUCCCGCAACGAGCGCAACCCUUAAGCUUAGUUGCCAUCAUUAAGUUGGGCACUCUAAGUUGACUGCCGGUGACAAACCGGAGGAAGGUGGGGAUGACGUCAAAUCAUCAUGCCCCUUAUGAUUUGGGCUACACACGUGCUACAAUGGACAAUACAAAGGGCAGCGAAACCGCGAGGUCAAGCAAAUCCCAUAAAGUUGUUCUCAGUUCGGAUUGUAGUCUGCAACUCGACUACAUGAAGCUGGAAUCGCUAGUAAUCGUAGAUCAGCAUGCUACGGUGAAUACGUUCCCGGGUCU